GUGAAAUUGGGUUUAACGUCGUGCUUGAGAAUAUUUCGCUCAUAUGAAGAUGUGCAUCCAUGUGUAUAUGUGGCUGCUUGUACUAGCCCAGACUGAAGCUGGUUUUAUAGUGCUAGCUCACUGAGAUACCAUGCCACA